UAGUCCACGCCGUAAACGAUGUAUACUCGAUGUUCGCAAUAAACCGUGAGCGUCCAAGAGAAAUUAUUAAGUAUACCACCUGGGGAGUACGGUCGCAAGAUUGAAACUCAAAGGAAUUGACGGGGGCCCGCACAAGCGGUGGAGCAUGUGGUUUAAUUCGAUGAUACGCGAGGAACCUUACCUAGGCUUAAAUGUAGAUUGACAGGACUGGAAACAGUUUUUUCUUCGGACAAUUUACAAGGUGCUGCAUGGUUGUCGUCAGCUCGUGCCGUGAGGUGUCGGGUUAAGUCCCAUAACGAGCGCAACCCCUAUUGUUAGUUGCUAGCAGGUCAUGCUGAGGACUCUAACAAAACUGCCUACGCAAGUAGAGAGGAAGGUGGGGAUGACGUCAAAUCAUCACGGCCCUUACGUCUAGGGCUACACACGUGCUACAAUGGUAGGUACAGAGGGCAGCUACACAGCGAUGUGAUGCGAAUCUCGAAAGCCUAUCUCAGUUCGGACCGC
rnacentral:rRNA from 1 species